rnacentral:rRNA from 1 species
AUACGUAGGGGGCGAGCGUUGUCCGGAAUGAUUGGGCGUAAAGGGCGCGUAGGCGGCCCGGUAAGUCUGGAGUGAAAGUCCUGUUUUUAAGAUGGGAAUUGCUUUGGAUACUGUCGGGCUUGAGUGCAGGAGAGGUAAGUGGAAUUCCCAGUGUAGCGGUGAAAUGCGUAGAGAUUGGGAGGAACACCAGUGGCGAAGGCGACUUACUGGACUGUAACUGACGCUGAGGCGCGAAAGUGUGGGGAGCGAACAGGAUUAGAUACCCUGGUAGUCCACACUGUAAACGAUGAAUGCUAGGUGUAGGGGGUAUCGACCCCUUCUGUGCCGCAGUCAACACAAUAAGCACUCCGCCUGGGGAGUACGGCCGCAAGGUUGAAACUCAAAUGAAUUGGCGGGG